rnacentral:rRNA from 1 species
GCACAAGCGGUGGAGCAUGUGGUUAAUUCGAAGCAACGCGAAGAACCUUACCAGGUCUUGACAUCCCGAUGCUAUUUCUAGAGAUAGAAAGUUACUUCGGUACAUCGGUGACAGGUGGUGCAUGGUUGUCGUCAGCUCGUGUCGUGAGAUGUUGGGUUAAGUCCCGCAACGAGCGCAACCCCUAUUGUUAGUUGCCAUCAUUCAGUUGGGCACUCUAGCGAGACUGCCGGUAAUAAACCGGAGGAAGGUGGGGAUGACGUCAAAUCAUCAUGCCCCUUAUGACCUGGGCUACACACGUGCUACAAUGGUUGGUACAACGAGUUGCGAGUCGGUGACGGCGAGCUAAUCUCUUAAAGCCAAUCUCAGUUCGGAUUGUAGGCUGCAACUCGCCUACAUGAAGUCGGAAUCGCUAGUAAUCGCGGAUCAGCACGCCGCGGUGAAUACGUUCCCGGGUCUU